GUGUUAGUAGCUUAAUUGGUUAGAGCGCCGCACUGUGAAUGCGGAGGACAGGGUUCGACUCCCGCUAACACC
rnacentral:tRNA from 1 species